rnacentral:rRNA from 1 species
AUUGAACGCUGGCGGCAGGCCUAACACAUGCAAGUCGAGCGAGCGGCGGACGGGCGAGGACUGCCUGGGUAUUGCCCAGUCGAGGGGGAGAACCGGUGGAAACGACUGCUAAUACCACAUACGCGUGUAUUGCCCAGGUGGGAUUAGCUAGUUGGUGGGGAAGUGGCACAUCAGGGCGACGAUCCCUAGCUGGUCUGAGAGGAUGAUCAGCCAAACUGGAACUGAGAAACGGUCCAGACUCCUACGGGAGGCAGCAGUGGGGAAUAUUGCACAAUGGGGGAAACCCUGAUGCAGCCAUGCCGCGUGUGUGAAGAAGGCCUUCGGGUUGUAAAGCACUUUCAGCGAGGAGGCGUUACUCGCAGAAGAAGCACCGGCUAACUCCGUGCCAGCAGCCGCGGUAAUUC